UACGAAGGGGGCGAGCGUUGUUCGGAUUUACUGGGCGUAAAGGGCGCGCAGGCGGCUUAUUUUGUCAGGCGUGAAAGCCCCGGGCUUAACCUGGGAACUGCGUUUGAUACGGAUGGGCUAGAGUUCGGGAGAGGAGAGUGGAAUUCCCAGUGUAGAGGUGAAAUUCGUAGAUAUUGGGAAGAACACCGGUGGCGAAGGCGGCCAUCUGGACCGGUUCUGACGCUGAGGCGCGAAAGCGUGGGGAGCAAACAGG
rnacentral:rRNA from 1 species